rnacentral:rRNA from 1 species
GACGAACGCUGGCGGCGUGCUUAACACAUGCAAGUCGAACGGAAAGACCCUGCUUUUGUGGGGUGCUCGAGUGGCGAACGGGUGAGUAACACGUGAGUAACCUGCCCUUGACUUUGGGAGAACUUCAGGAAACUGGGGCUAAUCCCGGAUAGGAGCUCCUGCUGCAUGGUGGGGGUUGGAACGUUUCGGCGGUUGGGGAUGGACUCGCGGCUGAUCAGCUUGCUGGUGGGGGAGUGGCAUACCAAGGCUUUGACGGGUAGCCGGCCUGAGAGGGUGACCGGCCACAUUGGGACUGAGGUACGGCCCAGAGUCCUACAGGAGGCAGCAGUGGGGAGUAUGGCACAAUGGGCGGAAGCCUGAUGCAGCAACGUCGCGUGCGGGAUGACGGCCUUCGGGUUGUAAACCGCUUUCGCCUGUGACGACGCGGGAGUGACGGUAAUGGGUGAAGAAGCACCGGCUAACUACGUG